AUUGAACGCUGGCGGAAUGCUUUACACAUGCAAGUCGAACGGCAGCAUAGAGAGCUUGCUCUCUGAUGGCGAGUGGCGAACGGGUGAGUAAUAUAUCGGAACGUACCCAGUAAUGGGGGAUAACGAAUCGAAAGAUUCGCUAAUACCGCAAACGCCCUACGGGGGAAAGCGGGGGAUAGUAAGACCUCGCGUUAUUGGAGCGGCCGAUAUCUGAUUAGCUAGUUGGUGAGGUAAAGGCUCACCAAGGCGACGAUCAGUAGCUGGUCUGAGAGGACGACCAGCCACACUGGAACUGAGACACGGUCCAGACUCCUACGGGAGGCAGCAGUGGGGAAUUUUGGACAAUGGGGGGAACCCUGAUCCAGCCAUUCCGCGUGAGUGAAGAAGGCCUUCGGGUUGUAAAGCUCUUUCGCAAGGGAAGAAAACUUACUUACUAAUACUAGGUGAGGCUGACGGUACCUUGAUAAGAAGCACCGGCUAACUACGUGCCAGCAGCCGCGGUAAUAC
rnacentral:rRNA from 1 species